GCUUAGCCAUUAACACAGACAGCUUAAAACAACAACGCUGCCCGCCAGAGAACUACAAGCGAAAAACUAGAAACUCUAAGGACUUGGCGGUGCUCCACACCUACCUAGAGGAGCCUGUCCUAUAAUCGAUACCCCACGUUAAACCCUACCGCCCCUAGCAAAACCAACCUAUAUACCGCCGUCGCCAGCCUACCUUAUGAAAGAACAAUAGUAAGCAAAACAGUAAGCACUAAUACGUCAGGUCAAGGUGUAGUAAAUGAGGCGGAAGAGAUGGGCUACAUUUACUAAAAUAGUAAAACACGAACAGCAAGAUGAAAUACUUGCCAGAAGGAGGAUUUAGCAGUAAGACAAAAAAACUUUUUUAUCUUAAGACAGCUC
rnacentral:rRNA from 1 species